rnacentral:tRNA from 1 species
AAUAGAGUGCCUGAAUUAAAGGGUUAUCUUGAUAGGAUAAAUAAUGUAAUUUUCUUACCUUUAUUA